rnacentral:rRNA from 1 species
GACGAACGCUGGCGGCGUGCUUAACACAUGCAAGUCGAACGGAAAGGCCCUGCUUUUGUGGGGUGCUCGAGUGGCGAACGGGUGAGUAACACGUGAGUAACCUGCCCUUGACUUUGGGAUAACUUCAGGAAACUGGGGCUAAUACCGGAUAGGAGCUCCUGCUGCAUGGUGGGGGUUGGAAAGUUUCGGCGGUUGGGGAUGGACUCGCGGCUUAUCCGCUUGUUGGUGGGGUAGUGGCUUACCAAGGCUUUGACGGGUAGCCGGCCUGAGAGGGUGACCGGCCACAUUGGGACUGAGAUACGGCCCAGACUCCUACGGGAGGCAGCAGUGGGGAAUAGUGCACAAUGGGCGGAAGCCGGAGGCAGGAACGCCGCGUGCGGGAUGACGGCCUUCGGGUUGUAAACCGCUUUCGCCUGUGACGAAGCGUGAGUGACGGUAAUGGGUAAAGAAGCACCGGCUAACUACGUG